GGUGGGUCAGUUAAGGAUGGCUUUAGUGCCCUCUGUCUUUCCUGACGAGCCUGCCCCACCCCUGGAGCCCCGGGACUUCCUGCUCUCGCUGUCCACCUUCACAUGCUGAGCUCGGACCUGGUCACAACAACAGCCCAGACCCUGAGAGCACCCCGAGAGGCCUCUCUCUCACGACCUCUCACUCCAGGCAGGGAGGCUGCAAAUAUAGGGUGGGCUUGGCAAGGUCAGUGUCAGGGCAGAUGUAGAGGCGAUAACACUGGGUUGGGGUCAGGAGGCCUGGACUCUGGUUCUUGCUUUGGCUGAACCCAGACCAGGCCACACACAGAGCCCUGAUCCCCCUCACUGUUGAGCCCUAACCCCACUGCAAGUUGCUGCCUUGCCUUCCAACCACAGAUCACUAGGAGGUAGGAGGAAAGAUCACAGCCUCCAAUGGCCCAUCUCAACCACAGGAACCACUUACUGCUCUUUCUACCCAGGACACCGUCUUCACUGGACAAGGAUGCCAUGCUCUUACUGCUUUGGAGGUUUGAUGCAAUGGGCCCUUCAGAGGAGUGACUUUGGGGAAAGUCUCUGUACUUCAGUUUCCUCACCUGUAAGUAAAUGGGAAUUAUAAUCUCCCCACCACCUUCCAUUCCCUUGGUUUCUUAUGAGGAUCAAAUGAGAUACUGAUUAUGAAGGUGCUUUGUUAGCUGAAUGUUAUCACAUAUGAGAGGAUGUUUUGAAAUGAUCCCAUUGUUUUUGUCUAAUCUCCUUCCUGGCUAGCCAGAGGAUCUGAUCCCCUCUAGAGACCUAGACCCAGGAGAAAGUUCUGUCCAGUCAAGGGGCCAAGAGGAGGCCAGGAGUUCUGCCAGGGCCCUACAGGGCCCAGAAAACUUGAGGACCUGCAGAAUCAGAUGGCUGAGCCUCCUUUGUCCUUGUUAAGAACCAAGUCUAUGGGUUGGAACUAUGGCAUCACAUAGCUGGCACCUCCUUAGUGCAUCGGUUGGUGCUAAUAUGGGCCCACAGGUGAUCUCAAAGGAUUUGGGUGUCCAGGGUUGGGCCCUUCCUCCCCACAAUCCCACAGAAACCCUCAGUCUCUGCCUGAGAGACUGAGGAGGCUCUACUGGGUCCUGGACACAUAGGUUCCUACACCUAAGCACUCUCCUGAUUUCCACUAGCUUACGUGUUUUGGGGAGGAAAUGUAAUUCACAAACUUCUGAUUCAUUUGCAUUAAAGCCAUCACAGAGCUUUGUAAAAGCCACUUGGAUCCUGUUGGAGAACCUUGGGGCUUCCCAGGUGGUGCUAGUGGUGAAGACCCUGGCAGCUGAUGCAGGAGAUGUAAGAGACAUGGGUGCGAUCCCUGGGUUGGGAAGAUCCCCUGGAGGAGGGCAGGGAACCCACUCCAGUAUUCCUGCCUGGCAAAUCCUAUAGACAGAGGAACCUGGUGGGCUACAGUCCACAGAGUUGCAAAGAGUCAGAUAUGACUGAAGCGACUUAGCAUAGGAAAUCUAAGCCAUUUUUGAAGGCCUUUUCCUUCUCUCAGGGAAAAAAGGAAGUCAUACUGCUCCAGGGACACCCUGCUGAAAACAUUCAGUAUUUGCUUGCCCCACUGGCCUCUGCACAACUGGAAAUGAAAGACUCAAGUCAUUCUCCCUUGGAGCACAACAAACCUUAAUUUUUUAAUUUUUUUGGCUGCACUGUGUGGCAUGCAGGAUCUUAGUUCCCUGACCAGGGAUCAAAUUCAGGCCCUCCACUGAAGCAUGGAGUCUUAACCACUGGGCCUCCAGGUAAGUAUGCCCAGCAAGCAGAACCCUCCGUGAUUUGACUGCUAUCUGGAUAGCAGACAGCUCUUAGCAACCUACCAGGAAGGGAGUAUUUGCAGCCAGAAUCCUGUGAUGUUUGUUGCAGCCUCUGUCAUGCUGUUCCUUCACCGUGACUACUUUUUUUUCCUGCCAUUCCUAAAAUUGUAUCCGUUCUUUGAGGCCCAACUCCAACCCAGCCUCAACCUUCCCUUGAUCAUUUUGAGUAAAGCAAUAUCCAGCUCAGAUUUGGUACCAAGUGACAGCAGUAAGUGUUUAUUGAAGAAUCAGAGCGUGAACAGACAAAUGGAAUGGAUAGAUGACAGAGCCUCAGAUGGUGUUUCUCUAUAUUUUCUUCUUUCCGAUUCUUCUUUUAAAACAUGCGAGGGCCAGAGUUUGGCACGUGCACAGGUUUGACAAAUACCUGAAGGAAUGAAUAAAGUGAAGUCGCUCAGUCGUGUCCGACUCUUUGUGAUCCCAUGGACUGUAGCCUACCAGGAUCCUCCCUCCAUGGGAUUCUCCAGGCAAGUGUACUGGAGUGGCUUGCCAUUUCCUUCUCCAGGGGAUCUGCCUGACCCAGGGAUUGAACCUGGGUCUCCUGCAUUCCAGGCAGACGCUUUAACCUCUGAGCCACCAGGGAAGCCCCAAUAAGCAUUAGUAAAUGAAUGGAUACAAUAGUUUAUUUAUAGAGUAUGUGAUUUUUUUUUUUUAACUGCACAGCAUGGAAGAUCUUAAGUCCCUGAUCUGGGAUUGAACCUGCACCUCCUGCACUGGAAAGCAAAGGAAUGCUCAAAAUUCUCCAAGCCAAGCUUCAACAGUACAUGAACUGUGAAAUCCCAGAUGUUCAAGCUGGAUUUAGAAAAGGCAGAGGAACCAGAGAUCAAAUUGCCAACAUUCACUGGAUCAUCGAAAAAGCAAGGGAGUUCCAGAAAAACAUCUACUUCUGCUUUACUGGCUACGCCAAAGCCUUUGAUUGUGUGGAUCACAACAAACUGUGAUUCUUCAAGAGAUGGGAAUACCAGACCACCUUACCUGCCUCCUGAGAAAUCUGUAUGCAGGUCAAGAAGCAACAGUUAGAACUGAACUUGGAACCACAGACUGGUUCCAAAUUGGGAAAGGAGUAUGUUAAGGCUGUAUACUGUC
ensembl:lncRNA